rnacentral:rRNA from 1 species
UACGGGGGGAGCAAGCGUUGUUCGGAUUUACUGGGCGUAAAGGGCGCGUAGGCGGCCACCGCAAGUCAAUUGUGAAAUCUCCGGGCUUAACUCGGAAAGGUCAACUGAUACUGCGGGGCUAGAGUGCGGAAGGGGCAACUGGAAUUCUCGGUGUAGCGGUGAAAUGCGUAGAUAUCGAGAGGAACACAUGCGGCGAAGGCGGGUUGCUGGGCCGACACUGACGCUGAGGCGCGAAAGCCAGGGGAGCGAACGGG